AUACGAAGGGUGCUAGCGUUGUUCGGAAUUACUGGGCGUAAAGAGCAUGUAGGCGGAUAGAUUAGUCAGAGGUGAAAGCCCCGAGCUCAACUCGGGAACUACCUUUGAUACUGUUUAUCUAGAGACCGAGAGAGGUGAGUGGAAUUCUCAGUGUAGAGGUGAAAUUCGUAGAUAUUGGGAAGAACACCAGUGGCGAAGGCGGCUCACUGGCUCGGAACUGACGCUGAGAUGCGAAAGCGUGGGUAGCAAACGGGAUUAGAAACCCUAGUAGUCC
rnacentral:rRNA from 1 species